rnacentral:rRNA from 1 species
UUGAACGCUGGCGGCAUGCUUUACACAUGCAAGUCGAACGGCAGCGCGGGCUUCGGCCUGGCGGCGAGUGGCGAACGGGUGAGUAAUGCAUCGGAACGUGCCCAGUAGUGGGGGAUAGCCCGGCGAAAGCCGGAUUAAUACCGCAUACGACCUGAGGGUGAAAGCGGGGGACCGAAAGGCCUCGCGCUAUUGGAGCGGCCGAUGUCGGAUUAGCUAGUUGGUGGGGUAAAGGCUUACCAAGGCGACGAUCUGUAGCUGGUCUGAGAGGACGACCAGCCACACUGGGACUGAGACACGGCCCAGACUCCUACGGGAGGCAGCAGUGGGGAAUUUUGGACAAUGGGGGCAACCCUGAUCCAGCCAUGCCGCGUGCGGGAAGAAGGCCUUCGGGUUGUAAACCGCUUUUGUUCGGGAAGAAAUCCUCUGGGCUAAUACCCCGGGGGGAUGACGGUACCGGAAGAAUAAGCACCGGCUAACUACGUG